UACGUAGGGGGCGAGCGUUGUCCGGAGUUACUGGGCGUAAAGCGCACGCAGGCGGUCGCGUAAGAGUGCGGGGACAGUGGGCGGCUUAACUGCCCAAGGGUCGCACAGACUGCGUGACUGGAGGGCCAGAGAGGGACCUGGAAUUCCUGGUGUAGCGGUGGAAUGCGCAGAUAUCAGGAGGAACACCAAUGGCGAAGGCAGCUCGCUGGGACGUGACUGACGCUGAGACGCGAAAGCGUGGGGAGCAAACAGG
rnacentral:rRNA from 1 species